AUUGGACGCUGGCGGCAUGCCUUACACAUGCAAGUCGAACGGUAGAGAGGUGCUUGCACCUCUUGAGAGCGGCGGACGGGUGAGUAAUGCCUAGGAAUCUGCCUGGUAGUGGGGGAUAACGCUCGGAAACGGACGCUAAUACCGCAUACGUCCUACGGGAGAAAGCAGGGGACCUUCGGGCCUUGCGCUAGCAGAUGAGCCUAGGUCGGAUUAGCUAGUUGGUGAGGUAAUGGCUCACCAAGGCGACGAUCCGUAACUGGUCUGAGAGGAUGAUCAGUCACACUGGAACUGAGACACGGUCCAGACUACUACGGGAGGCAGCAGUGGGGAAUAUUGGACAAUGGGCGAAAGCCUGAUCCAGCCAUGCCGCGUGUGUGGAGAAGGUCUUCGGAUUGUAAAGCACUUUAAGUUGGGAGGAAGGGUCGUUACCUAAUACGUGACGAUUUUGACGUUACCGACAGAAUAAGCACCGGCUAACUCUGUGCCAGCCGCCGCAGUAA
rnacentral:rRNA from 1 species